CGUGGAUUCAAUGGCGCGCCGUAGGAUUUGUUAGGUGUGGUGGAGGGUAAACGCUGUACAUACCUUUUUAAUAACACAGCAGCGUUUACUCACUUGUCAUUAUGCAAUUUAAAUGAUUUCAGUUAAAAAUACAUUAAUAAUGAAAACCGAGGCUACGAUCAACACCCAUCUGGCAAGAAUAAGGAGGUUUUUUCCGCUUAUUGUGUCGAAAUAAAAGUUCAGUUUUCAUACGUGAUUAAUGCAUUUAAUUGUAAAUGAUAUGCAGGAAAGAUGAAAAACAUCAGUAAAUUUAAUAAUAGUUAAUAUACGUAUACGUAUUAAAUUAAGGACAAUAAAUGAGACUAAAGAAGAACACUAAUAGGCCUAGACGUUUGAACCGCAGAAAAAAGUUUAUGGCUCAAACUCGAUUCACGCAUGUGUACUUUUUAGAUGACGUCAGCGUCGGUUUGGAAAGUUGAGAAACUAGCAGCAUUUCCGGCUUUUAACAAAGAAUUACAAAAGAUCGUCAUGGCUACAGCAAUUCGUUUUGCAGUUGUGGGAUUUGCUUCUUCGUCAAACCCGUUCACAUCCCCAUCAACAUCAUCAUUGUAGGUGGUUUGGUGCCUGGAUGACUGGCUACAUGGAGGACAAAUCUUUUUAAUAUAUCUUUUACAAUUUUUUAAAUAUAAAAUUUGUAUUUAUAUAUGGCUGUGUUAAUAAAACACGCAUGUGUGAAUCAUAAUUGAAGGC